rnacentral:lncRNA from 1 species
UCGUAAUCGAAGCUCUGCAACUUCCCACCCACCGGAAUCUUACCACACAAACGAUUGUAACUCACGUUCAGGAACUGUAAAUCCAGAGAAGUCAUCAUCUCCGGCAGGCUCCCGGCGAUCUUGUUAUGCGAAAGGUCCAACGACGUCAAACUCUUCGGGAAUUCCACUCUCGAAAGAUCAAACUGGAACAAGUUCCGUGAGAAGUCAACGAUCUGUGUUGACUUAUUGGCAUUGAAGAAUAUUGACAGGUCACCCUCAAGCUUGUUACGCGAUAAGUCCAUGACGUUGGGGUCGAAUCCUCUGAAAGAAUAUGGGAUUUUCCCGGAAAGUUGGUUGUGUGAGAGGUGUAGACCUGGGGUAGAGCCGGCGAAUUUUCCGAAGGAGUCAGGGAUUGGGCCGGUGAGGUGGUUCCGGUCGAGAUGGAGUGCGCCGAGGUUGGGGAGGAGAGAGAGGCUGCCGGGAAUGGGUCCAGAUAGGUUAUUGAAGGAGAGGUCGAGGUACGUGAGGUUCUUAAGCUCGCUGAAGAACGCCGGCACGGGACCGGAGAGGUUGGUCCAGCUAAGGCGAACCAUUUUUAGGUGCUUGAGUUUGGCAAUCGCCGGCGGGAUCUGACCGGUGAGGUUAGAGAGCUUGCGGAAGAUGAGGGUCUCGAGGAACGGAAGGUCACCAACAGCGUCGGGAAUCUGGCCGGAUAGCUGGCCGGAGAAGAUGGUGAGCGAGUUGAUGCGGUGGGUGGUGAGGUCACAUUCGACGCAGUACCAUCCGCAGCAAUCGGUGUUGGGAUUCCACGAAGCUAGAAUGUAGGGAUUGUCUAGGGCUUUUUUGAUUUGAAGGAGAACUUUUUUGUCUUUUGGGUUGCAACGUUCAGAGAGAGAAGGGCAUGGACGAGUGGCGAGUAAGACUAGGAGGAGAGAGGAGGAGAGAAGAAAAAGUUUUGAAGUCUCCAUUUCUCUGAAUUUGGCUACGUAAUGCCUAGACCAAAUCUUGAAUUUAUAGACACUUGCUCGCGUGACCAAAUUGAACACGAAUAUGGUAAAUGGGCUUCCAGCUAAGGGCGGCCUUGAGGGCUUAUUUGGAAUUUCCUUCCAUUUUUGUUUCUUUAGUGUCAAAUAUAUUUUACAAAUUUGGAUUAAAAAUAUUUUCUGAAAAUUUAUUUUUAAAAUAAAUUUAAAGUAGUUUAAGAUUUUUUUUUUUAAACAUUAUGAGAAAUAAUUGAAAAAAUGAAAAAUACUAAAAAUUGUUUUUAUUAAAAAUAUAAAUAUAUAAUAUUUUCAUAAAAAAAAAAAAAUCACAGUAUAGGGUUUAUUACUUUUUAGUUUUUAAAAAUAAAAAAUAGGGAUAAAAAAUUUAAAAUCUUAAAAAUUAUUUUUAAUUUAAAAGACAUUUUCAAAAUACUAAUUUAGAUAUAGAUAAACUCAAUAACAUUAUUAAAAAAUAAUUAUUUCCAUUAAUACCACAAAUUAGAUAACCUUACUUUUUUUCUAUAUUAUUAAAAAAAACUUAAAAAUAUAAAUUCAACAGUCAUUUUCUUUAUAUUAAGGUUAUAUUUGGUUAUCAAAAAGUAUUAAAAAAUUUUAUUUUAUCAUUUGAUUGUCCUAAAAAAAUAUAAAAAAAAUCAAAUAUAAUCAAAAUUAGUAAAAUAUUUAUGCAUUCUCAAAUUAUUUAAUCAUAAAUUAAAAUAAAUAAACAAAUUUAAAAUAACACAUAAAAAUAAUUUAUUAAUUUUAAAUUUAUUAUUAUUUUCUUUUUUUCCUUUCUAUUUUUUUACUUUACAUUUUCCUCCAAAUUUUCCUAAACCAAACGUACCCUAAGGAAAUUCUCGUGAGCAUAACCUAAAUUUAGCGUAGUUUUGCGGCUUUUGCCACAACUCUCACAACUAGAUAUUUUAUAUUUGAUUUCAGUGGGUCAAGCCCCAUGGAUCUGAAUCCGUUGCUUAAAACAAGAAAGCUUUGACUUUCAGCGAAUUUUCUGGGUCCGAUCAAUCAUUAGCUGGUCACCGUGUAGAUUCUUCUGGUUGGACGAUCGUUGGCUUUCAAAUCUAUUCCCACCAUAAAAAAAAAUAUGUAGAGAAUUUAUUUACAAAAUUUUUUAUUCUUUAGAAUUCAUAAUAUUUUUAAAAUUUUUGAAAAUAUAUUUCAUUAAAAAUAAUAUUCUAAAAACAGGCUUGUUUUUUAGAAUAAAUUCGAUAUGCAUUUAUAUAUAUUUAAAAAUAUGCUAAGAAAUAAUUAAAUAUAUAAAUAAUUAUUUGCAAACUUUUAUAUUAAUUUGAUAUAAUCUCGUAACAAUAAAUUACUUUAAUAAAAUUACAAAAUAUAUAAUGAUAAAUAUUUAAAGAUCUAUGAAAUUUGGAUUUAUUUUUAUUUUAAUUUUUAUUUCUACACGCAUUUGUCCCGCAAACGUGGCCUAAGGUCGAGGAGUGGUGUGGGUUGAGCGCUUCGCAUGCUUGUCAAAGUCAACAAUGGAGGCCCCUUGGUAUUAAUAUUAACUGCGUGCCGCUGAUCUUGUUGACUUCGUGAAGUAAAUCCAUAGGAUUUGUGGGCCACAUUCUUACACUGCCACUCACACUACAUGGAGCGCAUUAAUACCACAAAUUAUUAAUAAUUGUUUCCAUUAAUACCACAAAUUAGAUAACCUUACUUUUUUUUCUAUAUUAUUAAAAAAAUUUAAAAAUAUAAAUUCAAUAGUCAUUUUCUUUAUAUUAAGGUUAUAUUUGGUUAUCAAAAAAUAUUAAAAAAAUUUAUUUUAUUAUUUGGUUAUCUUAAAAAAAAUAUAAAAAAAAUCAAAUAUAAUCAAAAUUAGUAAAAUAUUUAUGCAUUCUCAAAUUAUUUAAUUAUGAAUUAAAAUAAAUAAACAAAUUUAAAAUAACACAUAAAAAUAAUUUAUUAAUUUUAAAUUUUUUAUUUUUUUAUUUUUUUCCUUUAUAUUUUUUUACUUUACAUUUUCCUCUAGAUUUUCCUAAACCAAACGUACCCUAAGGCUAUGUUUGGUUCCCGGAAAAUUUGAGGGAAAAUGCGAGGGAAAGAAAAUACAAUGGAAAAAUAGAAAGAAAUAAAAAGUGAAGAAAAAUAAAAAAAUAGAUUAAAAGUUGAUAAAUUCUUUUUUUAUUACUUCAAAUUCAUUUUAUUUAUUUUAACUCAUCAAUAUAAAGAUUAAAUAAUUUAAAAAUAUAUAAAUUUUUAAUUAGUUUUAAUUAUAUUUAAUUUUCUUUUAUAUUUUUCAUAGGAUAAUCAAACAUAAAAAAAAUUAUUUUUUUUAGCAUUUCUUUUCUUUCCUUUGUAAUUUUUGGUAACCAAACAUAGCCAAGGAAAUUCUCGUGAGCAUAACCUAAAUUUAGUGUAGUUUUGCCACAACUCUCACAACUAGAUAUUUUAUAUUUGAUUUCAGUGGGUCAAGCCUCAUGGAUCUGCAUCCGUUGCUUAAAACAAGAAAGUCAAAACUUUGACUUUCAGCGAAUUUUCUGGGUCCGAUCAAUCAUUAGCUGGUUACCGUGUAGAUUCUUCUGGUUGGACGAUCGUUAGCUUUCAAAUCUAUUCCCACCAUAAAAAAAUAUGUAGAGAAUUUAUUUACAAAAUUUUUUAUUCUUUAGAAUUCAUAAUAUUUUUAAAAUUUUUGAAAAUAUAUUUCAUUAAAAAUAAUAUUCUAAAAACAGGCUUGUUUUUCAGAAUAAAUUCGAUAUGCAUUUAUAUAUAUUUAAAAAUAUGCUAAGAAAUAAUUAAAUAUAUAAAUAAUUAUUUGCAAACUUUUAUAUUAAUUUGAUAUAAUCUCGUAACAAUAAAUUACUUUAAUAAAAUUACAAAAUAUAUAAUGAUAAAUAUUUAAAAAUCUAUGAAAUUUGGAUUAAUUUUUACUUCUACACGCAUUUGUCCCGCAAACGUGGCCUAAGGUCGAGGAGUGGUGUGGGUUGAGCGCUUCGCACGCUUGUCAAAGUCAACAAUGGAGGCCCCUUGGUAUUAAUAUUAACUGCGUGCCCCUGAUCUUGUUAACUUCGUGAAGUAAAUCCAUAGGAUUUGUGGGCCACAUUCUUACACUGCCACUCACACUACAUGGAGCUUCACCAAGUGACCCUGGGAACCAUAGCCCUUUCCUGGGUAGAGCCUCCCCAAUAUCCUAAAACUUAAUAACUCAUCAUACAAUAUUCUAUUUAAUUUUGUCGGGAAGACUUAUUUUAAAAUUUAUUUCUUCCAUUAAUUUGGUUUUUGAAUGUCGAUGAGAAUCUCCUACAAUAAAAUAAAAAAGGGCAAAUAUGUAAAUAUAUAUUAUUUAUAAAAUAUGAAUAAAUUCAAAACCCAAAAAAUUACUUUCAUUGAGAGUAUAUUUAAAAAAAAAAAAUUCUCAUUUUAUGUAUUAAAAUAGUAAUUUUAUUCGUAUUUUCAAAACCACCUUUCAAGCAAUUAAUGGUGCCUCCCCCGCUUUUUUUUUUUUCUCUCUUUUAUUUAUUUAUUUAUUUAUUUAUUGUUUUUUCUUUCCUUGAAUGAUUGAUGGGCCUCCCCACUUUUGUCUCUCUUUUUUGAAUUUUCAUUUUUCCUUCCCCACUCUCGGUAUUCUCGUUCCCACCUUUUCAUCAAAUUAAAUCAACUUUCAGCUUAAAAGAAUAAGAGUAUAUUUAAUAGUAAUUUUAAAAAAAUGUUCUAAAUAUUUGUAAUACUUAAAAAUAUUAAUUAUUCAAGUAUUAAAAAUACUUUUUAUAAUCAUUAUCAGAUGCAUUUUAAUAGUCUAUUUAAUAGUAAUUCCAGAAAGUGUUUUUAAUAUUUUUAAUAUUAAAAUUUUUUUUUAUCAUUUAAAUAUUAAAAAUAUUUUCUAAAAUCACUAUUAAACGAGUUCUAAAUUAAAUUAAGUUUCAUAUUACAAUUAAUGAAUUAAAUUUUGUUUUUUUUAAUACUUUCAUUUUAAUUAAUUUUAUAAAUUAAAUUUUUUCCAUAUUUUUAAAAAUAUGUUUACUUUAAAAAGCAAACUUUAUUUUUUUAAAGCUACAAUUCAUUUAUUUAUUAUUAUUUUCAUUUUUUAUUAAAAUUUUAUUUUAACAUAAUGUAUAAUUACUACAUUAAAAUAAAUUAAUUUUUAAUAUAAAAAUAUACUAACCUAUAAUAAUUAAUAAGUUAAUAAAUAAAUAAAUACUAACAUUUUAAAUAAUAUUGAUUUCAUAUAUAUAUAUAUAUAUAUAAUAUUUUAUUUUGUUUGACAUUCAUAAUUAUAAUAUUUAUAAUUUUCAUAUUAUGGAUCUCAUUUUUUUAUAUUUUAUAUUUAAAUUUUUUUUUUUAUAGAAUGUUAAACCUUUUAAAAAAAAAAAAAAAAAAACCAUCUACAUGUGGUUGAAAUUAUAUUUUUUAUUUUUUCAAAAUAAAAACAUAAAAAUAAUAUUAAAAAAAUAUUAACUUACCUUUAAUUUCAUUCAACAAAAAAUUAUUAAUAAUUAUUUUUUAAAAGUAUUUAAUUUAAAAAGCAAUAUUUGAAGGUAUGUAAAAUCAAAAUUUUAAAAGUCGUUUGCAUUCAAAUUUUAAAUAUAAAUUCACAAUUUUCAUCAUACUACAUUGAUAUUAAAAAAAUAAACUUAAUGUUUUUUUAUUAAAUAUGUAAAAAAUAGUACAUUUUUAUUUAAUUAGAAAUUUAAACCAUUAAAUUUGUUUUUUUAUUACAUAUUAUCUAAUAAUGGCUACCAAAGUCAUAUUAUUUAAUACAUUAUGUUAUUUAUAGUAAUGCUUUUAGUUACUAAUAUUAUUAUUUUUAGAUAAAAACAAUGUUAUUAUCUUUAGUAAUAUAUUUGAUGUCGAUAUUGAAGUAGUAAUGAAUGAAAAAUAAGUUAGUACACUAUUCUAUUUACAAUUGUGUUUUUAGUUAUUAACAUUAUUACUUUUAGGUAAAAAGUUAUUAUUUUCAGUGACAUAUUUAAUGUAGAGGGUAGAGAGAUACCAAAAUUCCGAUGUUGUAAUAAGUAUUAUAACAACCACGUAUAUGCGUCCAAUCAAGUAUAUAUAUUAUCUUAUCUUCUAUAGGUGGUAGCUAUCAGAAGAUACUGUUUAAAACAUACACAAAAUUACUAUUUUAGUGUAUAAAAUAAUAAUUAUUUUCUCCAAAAUAUAAUUCUAUAAAAGUGACUUUUUUUUUCAUAUUUAAUAUUUUAUGUACGAUAUAUGUUUACGUAAUUCCCCCAAUAAUUAUUUUUUUUAAAUGGUGGAAAUGAUAGUAUUAAGCUAAAUAUACUCUCGAUACGUUUAUUUAAAUAUAAUACAAAAUUUAAAAAGCAUAAAGGUUGUAAUUAAUGAUGGGUAGGGGAUCCAAGAAAACCCCUUUGAAGGAAAAAAGUGCCAUUGAAUUAAGGGAGUUUCUUGUCAAAGUAAUUUUUUUGUAAAAAUAAUUAUUGAUUUAGAUUUAUGUUCAAAAUAAUUUGUCAAAGUAGUGUGUCGGUACAACACCAAAUUUGACUUUAAUUUUUAAUUUUAAUUUUUGUUUUGAGUGUAUAAAGCUAAACAAAAAUUAGAUUGAUAAAUAUUUUGAGAAUAGGUCAACUUUGGUUAUUUUUUUCUUUCAAAAAUACUACUUUGGCCUUAAACUUGAAUUAAGGCUUAGCUCGUAAGUAAAGUUAAAAAAAUAAAGUGGCAUAACGAGACACCUUUCUCAGUCUUUUUCUUUAUUUCGUGAUCUUCUUCUUCUUUUCCCUUAAAUCAUUAUUUUUGUUGUAUUCUUUAUUUUGUCAUCCUCUCUUUUUCUUUAUUAUUAUUAUCUAUCUUAUCAAUAUUAUUAUUUAUUAUAAACACUUCUUUUCCCUUAAUCAUUAUUUUUGUUAUAUUCUUUAUUUUGUGAUCUUCUAUUUUUCUUUAUUAUUAUUAUUAUUAUUUAUCUUAUCAAUAUUAUAAUUUAUUAUAAACACUUCUUUUCCCUUAAUCAUUAUUUUUGUUGUAUUCUUUAUUUUGUCAUCUUCUAUUUUUCUUUAUUAUUAUUAUUAUUUAUCUUAUCAAUAUUAUUAUUUACUAUAAACACUUCUUUUCCCUUAAUAAUUAUUUUUGUUGUAUUCUUUAUUUUGUCAUCUUCUCUUUUUCUUUAUUAUUAUUAUUUAUCUUAUCAAUAUUAUUAUUUAUUAUAAAUAUCAUUGUUUGAUAAAUUACGGUAAAUAAUUAUUUAUUAUUAAAAACAUAUGAAAAUGUAUUUAUAUUUAUAAAUUCUGUGCAAUUAUCUUCAUUAAUUGGAUUGGAUCGAACUCAUCAAUCCUAACUCAAUUUGGGUUAGCUCGAAGUAUAUAUACAAUAUUUUAAUGAAAAAAAAAAUUGUAAAUUGUCUAUCUCAAAGUUCAAUUAAAAUUCUGAACUCGACCUGCUGAAUGCAUCAGUGAAACCAAUCAAAAACACACAAACUUCCAUCAACAGUUGACAAUUUAUUGCUGGUUCCAUUAAAAUGAUAGUCACAGACACCCUUUUUGUAGAAUGUGGGGUGUUUCAACUCUCAAGAUAUCAGCUGAAUUCAUUUUACAGGUUCAGUGAGCAGGCAACUGCCAUACCAGUGUCACGAUGGAGACUCCUUCCAUUGUAAUCUGUCAAGCCCAUCAACUAUCGCCCUGCGGAAUUCACCAUUGUGAAGAAUAAAAGAUGAGACGUGCCCUCCGGUGACCCACCUCACUUCUGAGCCAGGCCAAGCUUUCUGAAGUUCCAGCACUGAGUGUUUUGGGAUAUAUCCAUCAUCCUGAACACAUGAUUGCAGAAGGUCAGGGAACCAAAUUUUGAAAGAAAAAUGAUGAUGGAAAAGGCAGUAGGCUAAAUUUUAUGUGUUGGAGAACACCUAAUGAUAAAAGGAAAAGAGAAACACGAGUUAACUGUCUCCAAUAAACAUUCACACAGUAAUAUACUAAGUCUGAUACUCACAGUAGCAGCAACAAAGAUAACGGCAUUGGGAUUUUUGGGGAUUGGGAAGCGUGUGACAUCUGUGAGAGACAGUACAUUUCGCAUCCGCUCUCUAACAUCCUCGAGAGUCAUUGCAGCCUUCUGCACUGCAAGGUCCUCUCUCAGUGCCUCCCAUGCAGUUGCGUGUUUUAAUAUCCCUUCACAGAAUGCCACAACAGCAGAGUGUGGAGAGAGAAAAGGAAGGGUAGCAACAGGGGUGGGGUGCAGAGAUCCAACCAUUGCAGCAUGUACUCCACCUAAUUACCAUAAAAGCAUCAAUGCAAAUGAGAAGAGGAUCAAAGUUCUGAUGUCUAUUCCCAGAAUGGUAUAUUACAACAGGAACCAACAUGUUUGUUUUUGCAUAGUUAAAAAAUUGAAGCGACAACUUUUGACCAGGAAUCACAAAGGAAAAAAUCUGGUUUUCCUAAAGCUUCAAUAUAUGUAAAAGGGAUCUAUUGAAUCUUACCCAUGCUAAGUCCACAGACACCCAUCUUGCCAAACCCUGCUUCAGAGUCUAACCAAUGUAGAAGACUACGGGCUUCUUCAAUGGUGGCCCUUCCUAGCAAUAGCAAGUCACUCACACACAAGAGCUUAGCACCACGCUGCAGCACAGGUCGUCUCUGACCAUAAAAAGGGCUGCAGUCACAUAUUUUUAUCUAAAUUUAGAAGUACUAAUUAUUGUUUCACAUUAAUCAAUUAGGAGAAGCUUUUCUUCCAGUUUAAAAAAUGAACUCUGUUGAAUUGGUUCUCACCUUUCAAGCACCAUGGUUGCUAUGUUUUCCUUCAACAAUGGACCACCAAGACGCAAUCUUCGCUCAAAUGUAUGGUCCCCAGUGCCUGAAAAUAGAAAGCUAGACUCCAUAAAGCAAAUAACCAAGUGCUUGCUCUAAAUUUCACCCUUGAAAGAUAUUCCUAAACAGGUCAAGUAUGGAUCCCUGAAUGGUCUGUUCCACAAUUAGUAAGCAACAUAGGAAUCAGAUAGCCAUGGUAGUGAAUUUGGCAAUCCAGAAUCUGUAAGAGGCCAAAAUCAUACAAAAUUCAGAAAUUAAUUGGGAUGCAACUUUAAUAAACCAUGGAAAAUUUUGCCUCUGGCCUUAACUGUGAAAGGGUGAGGGGGGGUUUGAAUAUAAACUAUAAAGUUGUAUUUAUAUUAUUUAUAAAAAAGCCAUGACAAGCUCAAUAUUAUUUUCAAUGUAGGAACUGGGAAAAGCAGUAAAUCAACAUGUUGUAGUUUUGGAAUUGUUAGGAAUGUGACAAGUGAAUGGAAAAUAAUUCAAAAGUUAUUUGUAUUUCUAAAGAAUUAACAACAAACAAAUCAUUCACAAAAGAUUUCAGACAAGAUACAACCAAUGAGAAAAUUGGGUUUAGUAUAAGACUUGAUGAAAUAUUCAGAAAUCUUGUUUAAAAACACUGAUUAUUCAGUUCUUUUACAUCUUCAACAAACAAAACAUCGAACUUGCUUGCCCAUCUACAGCAUACAAAGCUUUUCAGUGGCAUAGAACAAAUCAGAUGCCUAAACUAUAAAAAUGUAAUAGCUGAAUGGAAUGUGGUUUGCAAAGUAAGGUCACCAAUAAAAACUUCAGUUGAACACUUUGAGCCAAACAUUCAAACAUAAAACGCACAUCCCAUUUGAAUUCUUUAUCAAAGUAGGAGGAUAAUAAAAUCAUCAAUCCCGACAGAAAUUAAGCCAGAACUUCAAAUUUCUAUUGAUUGAAUGAGAACCUACAAACAUGACCACUCAGGUCCUGGAUUGAAUGAGAACAAUAUACAGUAUUAUCUGUUAAAAAUUAAUCUCCAACAAUAUACACUACUAUCUGAUAAAAAUUAAUCUCUGAGACAUUAAAAGCCAAGAAUGCACCAUUUCAACCUAUCAAAAUUAGACAUUUUUUUUUUCUCAUAUAAGGAAACAUAAAUCAAACACUGCACUUGUAUCCUCCCCAAACCCACUGGAAGAUAGCAAACUUUAAUAGGGAACAGCAUAAUCUAAAACCUAAGAAUUUUCCCCAAUUGAAUGACAACCCAACCCAAUUGAAAGAAAGAUCAAUUAAAGCAAAUAAACCAGCAUAAAGCAUACACUUUAUUUAAAUCCAUUAUCAAAACAGUUAGAAAGAUUUAAACUCAUAAUGCUUUGAAGCAAAUAAACCAGCAUAACACAUACACUUUAUUUAAAUACAUUAUCAAAACAGUUGGAAGAUUCAAACUCAUAAUGCAGAUCAAAAUGAGCUAUGCUUCCAACUCCUCCGAGUUUCAAUAGUAUUUAAAGCAAUCUAGAUAUCAAACUCUCAAUUGGCAUAGCAGCUCAAGUUUUACCAUGUUAAUUGUCAUAUUUAGACUAAUUUCAGGCAAAUGAACAAAACAUGAGAAGAGCAGAAAUUAGUGCAAACGGAGAUUAAACAUUCAAUGCAGAUAUAAAUCACGCCAAAACUUUGAACUUCGGAUCACAAUCCACCUAAUCUAGAUUACCGAAUUCCAGAACAAACAGAAGGUAACAAUACCCAAUAGGAUCAAUUUUUGUGUGGAAAAAUGAGCAUACAAGAACCAAACACCCAUUUGGGAUUCCAUCAAUGCAAAGUAAAUUAAGUUACAGUGCAACCAUCUGCUAUUUCAAUGACAAUUUAACAAUCUAAAAACAAAAUUAUCGUCCACUGAGUAAGCUAAAGGUUGAUCACGUCACCUGCAAGAUGAACCACACAAGCCAUCUUCUGGGGUGGCACGAAUUUGGGAGUAAGGAAAGCAACCCUUGCAGUAUGACUCUCAGGAGGCAAUGCACUCAGAAGCCGCUCGUCACAAGGGGUUUUGAAAACUCCUUCUCUCAAACAAGCAGUCUUUGUUUCCCAAACCGUUUUCCAAAUGGGUUGGAUCAAACUAGGGGGCCAAUUCUCCGCAGCUUCAGGAAAUAGUUGUUUGAUCAUUCUCUCCAGAAGAUCAAGCUUUGCCCCACCCCAUCCUCUGGAGAAGAAUGGAGGACUUAUCUUUGUUCUGUGCAUGAAUGCCCCAUAUACAUGGUCCAGUAUGUGAUGGAGCAUUCCCAGAUUCACAGUGACCAUUUUGAGAAAACCCACCGAUCCAAAAACCAAAAUCUAGACAAAAAUGGUAGAUUCAAUCGGGUUAUGUCAAUUUCGGAAUAAGGCCCAGAUGGAAGCGAUCAAAAUCUUGAAACAAUUGAAAGCAAAUUUAGGUAAAUCUCAUAGCAAUCAUCGAACUCGCAGUCCAUCGAGAAUUCAACAAAUAACAAAUACACAAAAAUAGAGGGAUUUUAAUCAAAUUCAGGAACCCGUGAAAACUAAAAUCCACAAUUUUAGGCCUCAAAAUCCCAACAACGGGCAAAAACCCACGACUCAAAGCUCUAAAAGCAAAUUCAAAUUUAAGAGAGCUUUAUCAUUGUGGACAAAAUAGAUCUCACUCAUCAAUGCAUUAAAAAAAAAAAGAAAAAAAAAAGUGUGGAUCCGAUUAAACGGAAUCAGAGAAGGAGAUGGAUUAGAAAAGAGAAGUUUACUGAAAAAAAAAAACCUGAGAAGAUUUAUGAAUCUAUGGGCAUUGAUGGAGGGAGAAGAGGGGUAGAAAAAGAAGAUUUAGGUGCGAAAGAAUCGAGGAAAUAUCGAAGAGAUACCAGGACCUUUCAAUUAAAAGGGACGAAACUGUGGGCGAAUUGAGGAGUUGUAAAUGACACGAUGGCAGUGGUCCCAGUGCCACCUCAUCUUAUCUGAUUUUUUUAUUAUUUUGCAAUAAUCAUAUUCGCCGUGGUGGACCGGGAUAAUAAGCCAAUCAGGUGGAGCAGACCACUCCGAAAACGGCGUCGAACCAACUGUUUCGAGUCUUGAGGGUAUGACUUAUGAGUUGGUUCCUGUUUGGAAUUGAAUUUUAUAUGAAAUCUACUUUUUAGUUUUUAGGAUUGGAUUAGAAAUUGAUUUAAUUUGGAUCAAAUUUAGAGAUUUGGAGUGUACUGAUUUUAUUUAAAAUAUUUAUUAUAAAAUAUUUUAAAGAAAUUAGAAGUAUUUUAUUGGAUUGUUUGGCCAAAUUUUAAAAAUCAUUUACAAAAAUUGGAUUUCUAACAAAUAUUUUAUAAAUUAUUAUUUUUUUAAAUAUUAGGUAGAUGAUUUUAAAAUUUUAUAAGAUUGUGUAAUUUCAAAUUUUAUACAAUAUUCUAAUUUUUCAUAAUUAUUUUUAAUAAUGAUUGCUCGUUAGAAUGGAUUUUUUUUUAAUAAUGAGAAUAUAUGACAUGCCAUAUGCCCACUUUAGUAAUUAAUAGUAAAUUAUUUAUGGUAGGGGUAUUCCAUAUGAAGCCUUUUGCGAAUAUGAUCGGGGAUGAGAAACAUUUGUGCCUAGAAAAAGUGAUGUGAUAGUUGCAAUGGGAUAGUUUUUUGUUUUUAGUUUUAAAAAAUUAAUCCGAAAUUUAAAAUUAAUGUUGAUAGGAUGUAUUUACAUCGAGUUUUAGGGGAUGAUGAAAUUAACUCGAAAACAAACCUAACUAACUCUUAAUAACAAUAUAUAUAUAUAUAUAUAUAUAUAUAUAUAUAUAUAUAAUUUUGUAAAAGAUGGAAAGAAAAAUCAUCGGCUCCAACGUUCUUAGGAAUGUUAUCUGUGGCUGGGGAUCAAUGCAUCAUGUUAGGAUAAGUUUCGGUAACCGAUAAGAUCUUGUAAAAAAAAAAAAAAAUUAUUUAACUGCCAAAAAACUCGAUCUCUCCAUACAAACGAAUCGUUCGCCACGCGCCAACCAAAUUUCCUCGUUCCAUUUAAGCCCGUACAUCUCCCGCCACAACAGAGCCCUUGAGGAGCACGUUUUCUCGUUUCAUUCGAUCGCAUAGAGCGUUCGAUUCAUUGGCUCCGUGGCGCGGUAAUGUAUAAUCUGCUUGCUAUGAUCUUCCUAUUUAUUUAUGUUUUCGAUAUAUUUUCGAUUCAUCGAUCUUGAUUCUGAUGAGCUGUUGAAUCGUUAGCCGUUGAUUCGUGUGAACUCUGAGAUGGCGUUGUUUGUUCGCAGGCAUGAUUCUCCGAGUUGCUUGGUUUCUUUCGUUAGUUCGAUGAUCGCAUCAAGAAUUGUUGACGACUGCAUUGAGGUACGGCCCAAUGUUUGAUUCCUUUUUUCUUAGAUCGUUUGUUUGGUUGCUGAGAAAAGUAAAGAAAGGAAAGAAAACUUUUGAGUCUUAUUUUCCUGAUUGAGUUGUAGGGGAUUAGUUACUGGCGGUUUUUGUUUUCUCUGACAAAUCUUGGACUCAAUAUUUUGAUUUUCUUGGCUAUCAAACAGUGCAUAAUUUUAUGUGUGUGCAAGUUUGCAUAAAAUGUUGAUGGUAUUCGGCAUUUUUUUGGUGUUAUCCUUGGUACUUUGUUUGGUUUAUGAGAAAAGGAAAUAAAUUAAAAAUUAACCUUGGUUUUUCAAUAUUUUGUGUGAGGAUUUCUUUAAUUCAUGCAAACAAUCAUAAUCCUAAUUCCCAAAUUUUAGAAGUUUGUGAUUUUUCACAAUAGAAUAAAUAAUCAAGAAAACAUACUUUGAUCCAUGAGAUUAAUUUUGAAGAAAAAUUAUUUGUAGAAAAGAAGAAAUUAGAGAAAACUUGGUUUCUCUCUCGACCCUUUUAGUUUGAUGUAAAUUUCUUGAUGGAGAAAAAACUGUAUAUAUAUUAGGCAAAGAGAUGACCAAAUCUAAAAUAGGGUUUUAUGUCUCACAACGGAUAUUUAGAAAUUGUUUUGAAGAAUAGCAAAAUGUUUGAUGUUUUUAGAGGAUUUUCUUUUUUUUUGGAGCUUCAAGGAAAAGUAGUACGUUUUUACUAGCUCUAAACAUGAAUUUGGUAAUGGGUAACUUUCCUAUUUGAGUCAUUCCCAUUUUGACUCUCCAUGCUUGAAAUGUAAAAUGACCAUUAUGCCUAUAGAGUGGGUCCUAGGGCAUGCCAUGAUAUAUGCCAAAUAAUAACAUCUUCUUGACUAAUAGGAUUUUAGCACUAAAUAUUAUUAACCAUAAUUCUCUUUUAAAUUAAAUAAAAAAUAAUUAAUAAUAAAAUAAACCCAUCUUAAUUAUCUUUUAAAUUGAAUAAAAGAUAAUUAAUAAUAAAAUAAGCCACUUGUGUCACAUUAAAAAAAUAAAGUGGCAUUAUCAUGGUUUAAUAAUAAAACAUAAUAUGUGUAGUAUAAGCUAAGUCCUUUCUUACAUUGGUCACGUCAUAAAUCAUCAUAAAUUAUCAUUAAGUAAAAAAUCAUAAAGAUUAUAACGGUCAUAUGCCAUUAUCUCAAUAGAGUCCCUUCCAUGUAUCACAAUAUUUAGUUUCAAAUUUGAUUUGUAAUAAAAUAUAUCAUAAUGAUCCAACAAUAUUGUUUUUGUCAAAGGCAAAUCUUGUUAAAAUUCACAUAAUUCAUUUAUGUAUAUGCUAACGAUAAGAAACAAGAUAUUCAAAUAUUAGAAACAAUAUUUAAAAAGUUUUAUGAGUGUUGAAUACAUGAAAACAUAAAAUAAUGACAUAAUGUCAGUAAUGGUACCCAAUAAUGCCCAUUCUUUUGAUAUAUUCAUUAAAUGUAUUUGGUAGUAAUCUUUUUGUUAAUGGAUUAGUAAUCAUAAGGUUGAUGCUAAUGUGCUUGAUGGGCACCCUUUGUUUUUGAACUACUUUAACAACAACAUAUUUCACUUUCAUGUGUUUAGGACCAUUUGAAUACUUGUCGUUUUUCGAAAAGAAGACUGUUGACAGAGUUAUCACAAUAAAUUUUAGGGACUUGGUAAUACUGUUGAUAAUUCCAAGUCUGGAAAUAAAGUUCUGUAGCUAUAAUCCAUGAAUAGUCAACUCAAAGCAUGCCAUAAACUUAGCUUCCAUGGUGGGAUGCAGUAAUGACAGAUUGUUUCACACUCUUCCAUGAGAUUUCAUCCCCGGCCAAAAUGAACAAAUAACCAAAUGACGAUUUUCUUGUAUCAACACAUCCAACAUAAUCUGAAUUUGAAUAUCCUAUUACCUUUAGAUGAUCAGAUCUCCUAUAAGUGAGCAUGUGAUCCUUCGUUCCUUGUAAGUAUCUCAAUACUUUCUUUCCAACUUUUCAAUAAUCCAAACUUGGAUUACUUUGACACCUGCCUAGUAUUUUGACAGUAAAAUUGAUGUUUGGCUCGAUACAAGUCUGUACAUACAUUAAGCUCCCAACAAUAGAUGCAUAAGGAAUCUAAUUUUUUUUUGUGUGUUCCAAUUCAUUCUUUGGGCAUUGCAUAAGACUGAAUUUAUCUCAUUUCUAAAUUGGAACAACACUUUUCCAUCUUCAAUCUUUUUAGAACUUUAUUAAUAUAUGUUUUUUAAGGCAAUCCUAACAAUCAUUGUGAUCUGUUUCAAAAUAUUUCAAUUCCUAUCACAUAGGAUGCCCCACCCAUAUAUUUCAUUUGAAGGUUCUUAGAGAGAAAUUUCUUGGUUUCAUGUAAUAAGCCAAGAUCAUUAGUAACAAGCAAGAUAUUAUCAACAUACAAAAUCAUAAAAAUAAACUUGCUCCCAUUGACCUUCAAAUAUAUACAUCCAUUAACAAUGUUUUCUUUAAAUCUAAAAGAAGUGAUGAUAUCUUUGAACUUAAGAUGCCAUUGUUGGGAAGUUUGUUUAAGUUCGUAUAUUGAAUAUUUAAGUUUACAUACCAUGUGUUCCUUUCUUUCAAAAGAAAAACCCUUGGGUUGAUCCAUGUAAAUCUUUUCCCCUAAAUUCCCUUUCCAAAAAGUGGUUUUUACAUCCAUUUGAUGUAACUCUAAAUCAUAAUGAGCUACCAUUGCCAUGAUAAUUUUAAAAUAGUCAUUUUUUGAAACAGAAGAAAAGGUCUCCUUGUAGUCAACACCGUCCUUUUGAGUAAAAUCCUUGGCAAUGAGUCUAGCCUUAUAUCGUUCGAUAUUUCCAUUUGAGUCGUGUUUGGUCUUAAAAACCCAUUUACAAUCGACUCUCUCACAACCUUUAGGCAAUUUGACGAGAUCCCAAAAUCCAUUAUGAUUUAUGGGUUUCAACUUUUCUUUUAUGACGUCUAACCACUUAACAGAAUUAACACUUUCUAUGGCUUGUGAAAACAAAACUGAAUCCUCAUCAAUUCCCAAGUCAAAUUCUAAUUCUUGUAGAUAAACCACAUAAUCAUAAGAAAUAACAAUUCUUUUUUGCCUUUGAGACCUUCUUAAUGUUACUUCAUGUGGUUCAUCCACUACAAGUUCAUUUGCAAUAAUUUCAUUAUUGGUAAUUUGAUCAUUCAUUUGUUAUUUUUACAAGUUGUCAAAUUGUUCAACAACUCUAGGAACAACAACAUGAGAAAAAGUUAUAGGUAAAGAACCCUACACCCUAACUUUUUCGAUUUCCACUUUACGUGGUUCCACAUUCCCACCAAUGCUGUCAUUUUCUAUGAACUUAGCAUAUUUAGUUUCAACAAUUUUCGUACUAUGACCAAGACGAUAAAAUUAUAUCCUUUAGAUUUUUUUGGAUAAUCAAUGAAGAAGCCACUAGUUGUUCUUAAGUCCAGUUUCUUUUCAUGUGGAUUAUAAAUUCUUUACUUUCGUCGAGCAACCCCAAACAUGUAGGUGCUUCAAAUCGAGUUUCCUUUCCAUCCAGAGUUCAAAAGGGGUUUUUGAAACUGCCUUACUAGGGCUCCUAUUCAAUAAAUACAUGAUGGUUUUUAAAGCAUGCAUCCACAAAGAUAAAGGUAAAGAAGAAUAACUCAACAUAUUCCUAACCAUGUCUAUUAGAGUACAAUUAUGCCUUUCUACAACACCAUUUUGUUGUGGUGUACUUGAUAUUGUGUAUUGAGCACAUAUGCCAGGCUUUUUAAGACAAAUGGACUAGGACAUUGUUCAAUUUCAUCAUGCUUUCCAUAAUAUUCACUACUUCUGUUAGACUUGACAAUUUUCACUUUUUUGUCUAGUUGUUUUUCAAUCUCAUUCAUAAAUACCUUUAAGGCGUCUAUUAGUUGAGAUUUUUUAUGUAACAAAUAAACAUAGUCAUAACAUGAAAAAUCAUCAAUAAAGAUGAUAAAAUACUUUUCUCCACCAAAAGAUGGAAUAUCAAAAGACCCACAUAUAUCGGUGUGUAUAAGUUCAAAGAGUUGUAUGCUUCUUGUGACUGUUUUCUUAAUUAUGUGUUUUCCUUUAAUACAAUCCACAUAUAUGCCAAGACCAUAAAAAUUCAAUUCAGAAAGGAUUUCAUUCUUUAUCAAUCUCAGUAUUUUUUCUUUAGAUAUGUGACCUAAGCAUUUCUACCACAAGUAAGUUGAACUUUUAGCAACCGAACCACAUUUAAUACCAACAUUUGAUGUAAGGUUAACAAAAUCUCAGCAAAAAAGUUAUCAAGCUUUAAUUUGUACAAACCAUCACAUAGAACACUAAAACCAACGAAAUGAUUAUGUUUUAAACAAACUGAAACAUCCAUUCCCAAAUUUAAAAGAAUUUCUAGUGCAUCAAGUUUAGACAAAGAAACUAAGGGCUUGUUUGGUAACCAUUUUCGAAAACAGUUUUGAAAAACAGUUUUUAAGAAUGGUUUUUGAAAAUUGGUUUAUGAUGUUCUAUAGAAUAAAAAUCUGUUUGGAAACCUAAAAUAUUUUUAACUUGUUUUUAAUAUUUUUAAAUAUGUUUUAAAAAUAAUUUUUAUGUCUAGUGUUUUAUUUUUAAUUAUUCUACAUGUUUGUAUAAUUAUUUUUUAAAACAACCUUCAAAAAAUAAGUGAAAACAAUAGAAAACAAUUAAAAGAUGUUAUUUGAAAACAAACAUAAAAAUUUAGUAAUGAACGUUUAAACUUGAUUAGCUGGAUACUCUUUUAAAUUUAGGAAUGAAUGUUUUAGUUUGUUUAAACAUAAUCAUUUCAUUAGUUCUUGUGUAUUAUGUGAUGGUUUGUACAAAUUCAAACUUGAUAACCUUUUUGUUGGGACUUUGUUAACGUUGCAUCAUAAUGUUGGUACUAAACGUGGUUCAGUUGAUGAAAGUUUAGAUUACUUGUGGCAUAAAUGCUUGGGUCACAUGUCCAAAGAAAGAAUACUGAGAUUGGUAAAGAAUAAAAUCCUUCAUAAUUUGAAUUUUGUUGAUCUUAGUAUAUGUGUGGAUUGUAUUAAAGGAAAACACACAAUUAAGAAAGUAGCCAUAAUAAGCAUACAACUCCUUGAACUUAUUUACACCGAUAUAUAUGGGUCUUUUGAUGUUUCAUCUUUUGGUGGAGAAAGGUAUUUUAUCACCUUUAUGGAUGAUUUUUCACGUUAUGACUAUGUUUAUGUAUUGCAUGAAAAAUCUCAAUUAAUAGAUGCCUUAAAGGUGUUUAUUAAUGAGGUUGAAAGACAAUUAGACAGAAAAGUGAAAAUUGUCAUGUUUGACAGAGGUGGUGAAUAUUAUGGAAAGCAUGAUGAAACUGAACAAUGCCCUAAUCCAUUUGCUAAAUUCCUUGAAAAGUGUGGCAUAUGUUCUUAAUACGCAAUGUUAGGUACACUGCAACAAAACGGUGUUGCAGAAAGGCAUAAUUGUACUCUUUGUGGAUGCUUGCCUUGAAAACCGCCAUGUAUUUAUUGAAUAGGGUUCUUAGAAAGGCAAUUUCAAAGACUCCUUUUGAAUUGUAGCUAGGAAAGUACCUGCAUGUUUGGGGUUAUUGGCGGAAAUAAAGGAUUUAUAAUCCACAUGAAAAGAAACUGGACUCAAGAAUAACUAAUGGCUUUUUCAUUGGUUAUCUAGAAAAACGUUAAAGGAUAUGAAUUUUAUUGUAUAGACCAUAGUAAGAGAAUUGUUGAAAUUGGAAAUGUUAGGUUUAUAGGAAAUGGUGACAUAAGUGGGAGUGUGGAACCAUGCAAAGUGGAAAUCGAAGAAGUUAGGGUACUGGUUUCGUUAUCUAUAACUUCUUCUCAAGUUGUUGUUCCUACAGUUGUUGAAUAGUUUGACAACUUGUAAGAACAACAAAUGAAUGAUCAAAUUCCCACAAUGAAAUUGUUGCAAAUAAACUUGUAGUGGAUGAACCACAUGAAAUAGCAUUGAAGAAGGUCUCAAAGGCAAAAGAGAGCUGCUAUUUUUGUUGAUUAUGUGGUUUAUCUACAAGAGUCAGAACUUGACUUACGAAUUAAUGAGGAUCCAAUUUCGUUUUCACAAGCUAUAGAAAGUGUUACUUCUAUUAAGUGGUUGGACAUAUGGAAACUAGAUGUUUACUAAAAUGUGGAUUCAUCAUUUUUCAUGGGAAACUAAAGCCAUUGAAAACAUGAUUUUCUUAGCAACCAAUGAAGGCAAGUUCUUAUUUACUUUUGAAUGUGAAACCUAUGCUAGGCAAAAGCUAUUAUAGGUUACUUAGAUUGUGCUUGUUAGAAUGAAACAAUCCUACUGCCGUUUUUUGUGAAUUGCAUAUGGUUCUAUUCGUGUGUUUUGUUCUCUUGCUUGUUUGAAUAGGUUAAAUGUUAUUUGGUUGUUGCUUUGUUAACUCAUUUUAGCUCGUUGUCAUUUUAGCAUUAAGGUUGAGAAUUUCUCAAACUGCAGGCCUUAAGUAAAUCUAUUGCUAAUAAAAAUGCUAGCAGUGAAAUAAUCCUUCAGAUAUUCAACAGAUCAUGUAUUGGCUGGCAUAACUGUCAUUUCAUUGUUAUUACAACUGAAACAGCUUUAGAAGAAUUCCAUUGUCUGGUUGGUCUAUUAAAACUUGAUAAGGUUAGGGUGAUGAUUCAAUUGUUAGUCAUUAGGUAACUGGUGUUAGCUUAAUAAUUUCAACCCUCUAUGAAUAUGUGGGGUUUAAGAGUAGGCGCUUUCAUGUUGGAGGUUUUGAGAACUGUGACACAGCCAAUGACAGAAUUGAGUUUGUAGAAGUGAAAUGGGCAGGAGAACCAUUUACUGGGGCCAUUAGUUCAGGAAAUUCAAUAAUUUGGCUAUUUCCUUGCUAUUAUUUCCUCAAAAGUUUCCAGAUUUUGCCCCUCCAUACUUAAAAGACAAGUCAUUGAAUCAAAGCUAUUUAGUUUGUUUGAUUUUCGUUAAUUAAAGAGAAGUACGAUAAACACUCCCUUGAUCUUCUUCUUUGAUUUUUUUUUUUGAAAUUAUUUUUCAAAUAAUAAAUAAGAUCUAUGGAAAUAGGUGGAGUCUAGCCACUGGGACACAAAUCAAAGGAUGAGCCCUUGGAAGAGUGAGCCCUGGUCCCUCUUCCAUGUUAAGAGUUCCAUUGCCCCCGUCCCUCACCUUCCACUCAAAGCACUGAAUCAUAGCAGCAAGGCUUGUUUGGACGACCUGUAGUGCUAGUGAAGUUCCAGGGCAACCUCU